rnacentral:lncRNA from 1 species
AUAUAUUAGUUCAUCUCCCUUUACAGAUGGAUGCUGUACCAAGGCAUCAGUCCAGCGAAGCACUUAAAGAUGUGCUUAACUUUAGGUGUAAGCUUAAAAUGUUACUAAGUCAGGAUCCAAAAGCACAAGUUCUUAUUACUUGAAAUUAACAUGGGAUUUCAUUAGGUCUAAACUGGGAGACUGUUACUCUGUUAGGGAAGAUUAUGAUGUGACUUAGGAGGAUAUUUUUCAGAACAGUAAACACAGCUAAUACAGAGAGGAUAACACAAGGCUGAGGAAUACAGUGCCUUCUAAACAAAUAUUUAUAUGUUGAACAUAAAGUAGCUGACCUCCUGCAUGCAUUGAUUAGAAAGUGACAAGUAACUUGCUCUCCCCUAUUGUGUUUCCGUAGGGACCACCAGGGCCGCCAGGACCACGAGGACCACAAGGCAACAGGGGCCUUGGCUUCUAUGGAGAAAAAGGUGAACAGGGCCCUCCUGGUCCUCCAGGUCCACCUGGGCUUCCUACAAGAGAACUGAUGGGCGUCCCCUCUGACAAACACAAGGGUGAAAGAGGAGACCCAGGACAAAAAGGGGAAGCUGGAAUUCCAGGUGUACUUCUUCAUGUCCCUGAAAAAGGUGAAGAAGGGGUAAUAGGCUUCCCAGGACAAAGGGGACUGCCUGGCAUCAACGGUUUUCCGGGACUUAGUGGAGAAAGAGUGAGUAUCUCAUACCAGACUGUUGUUUCUAACACAUAUGUAGACAAUCUGUCUAAAAAGUAAACUGUAGAGGACAAACGCUGCCUGUAAUUAUACCAGCUGUAGUCUAACAAAUAUCAUCUGGAUUCAUCCAUCAUUGUAAUUUUGGGUCAGUUAUUUUUCUCAUCAGUGAGAAAAAACAUGGCCCUAUAAUUAAAGUCUUUUUUAAG